rnacentral:rRNA from 1 species
AACGAACGCUGGCGGCAUGCCUAACACAUGCAAGUCGAACGAGACCUUCGGGUCUAGUGGCGCACGGGUGCGUAACGCGUGGGAACCUGCCCUAAGGUUCGGAAUAACUCCCCGAAAGGGGUGCUAAUACUGGAUAAUGUCUUCGGACCAAAGAUUUAUCGCCUUUGGAUGGGCCCGCGUUGGAUUAGCUAGUUGGUAGGGUAAAAGCCUACCAAGGCGACGAUCCAUAGCUGGUCUGAGAGGAUGAUCAGCCACACUGGGACUGAGACACGGCCCAGACUCCUACGGGAGGCAGCAGUGGGGAAUAUUGGACAAUGGGCGAAAGCCUGAUCCAGCAAUGCCGCGUGAGUGAUGAAGGCCUUAGGGUUGUAAAGCUCUUUUACCCGGGAUGAUAAUGACAGUACCGGGAGAAUAAGCUCCGGCUAACUCCGUG